rnacentral:lncRNA from 1 species
CUUUUUGCCUUUUCUAGGGCCACUCUUGUGGCAUAUGGAGGUUCCCAGGCUAGGGGUCUAAUCGGAGCUGUAGCCGCCAGCCUAUGCCAGAGCCACAGCAACGUGGGAUCCGAACCGCGUGUCCAACCUACACCACAGCUCACAGCAACGCCGGAUCCUUAACCCACUGAACAAGGCCAGAGGAUCGAACCCGCAACCUCAUGGUUCCUAGUCGGAUCAGUUGACCACUGAGCCACAAAGGGAACUCCCUGGUGAGCAGUAUUAACAUCUACACAUGGACACAGUUAAGAAUGAGCACAUUCAAUUUGCUAAUUAAAUAAUACUAAAAGCGUGGUAUUACUUACCUAUCUAAUGUGGUAAUCACUGCACAUCUGUGGCUAUUUAUGUUUAAAUUAAAACUGAAUACUAUUUAAAAUGCAGUUCCUUGGUCACAGGAGUUACAUUUCAAGUACAAAACAGCCAAAUGUGGCCUGUGGCUACUCCACAGGACCACUCAGAUGUGAAAGAUUUCCAUCACCACAGAACAUUCUAUGGGACAAGGCUGGGCUAGCCCCCAGUUGGUCUCCUUCCUUUGUGUGCCAUCAUUCUGUUAACUACCCACACGUGGCUUCUGUGUUAAUAGAAAUGCUCUGACAAUGUGCUGGCCAUUGCUCAGAAGUUUUCCACGUGAAGAGCAUCUGCAAGCUAGACAUUCAUAAGGCAGAGAAUGCAGGUACUGGGUUGGGGGAAGGUCUGAUAGGUUUUCAGGUUAGCAAGGCUAAUGAUACAGGGAUAGACUAAAGAAGGAUAGAUAGACGUACAGGAGGUCAUGUGCAAGAAUCGUGGGUCAAAAAGGGAUAAAAAUGGUUGUCAAAGCAAAUCUGUAAGGGAUAUGUGAUGAUUAAAUAAGUUGACAAUGCAGGGAGAACUGAUGUUACAUGCUUUAACAAAUGUCUUCUGCAGAAUAAGUGGACUAACUAAACUGUAUCUCUACUGAACACAGAAUAAAAGGUGAUGGGAUUAAAUUUAUUUUAGGAGUUCCCAUUGUGGCUCAGCUGUUAAUGAAUCUGACUAGCAUCUAUGAGGAUGCUGGCUCAAUCCCUGGUCUCACUCAGGGGGUUAAAGGACCUGGUGUUGCCAUAAGCUGCAGUGUAGGUAGCAGAUGUGGCUUGGAUCCCACAUUGCUGUGGCUGUGGCACAGGCCAGCAGCUGUAGCUCGGAUUUGACCCCUGGUCUGGGAACCUCCAUAUGCCAUGGAUGCCUCCCUAAAAAGCAAAAAAAAAUUAUUUUAAUUAUGUCUAAGUACAGAGAAUACUGUACCCUUUGAAAAUGUGGGACAACAUGGUGUAAAGUUUUGCUGAAUGAUUGCUCAAUGCCUCUUCUAAAGCUGUGAUUUUACUGGGGGGCACCUUGCAUAUCUGGUAACUUUUGAUUCUGUUGAUUGCCUAUGACAGUGGCUCAAAGUGGAGUCCACAGGCUUCAGGACAUUCCCAAGAACUAUCAGCUCAAACUAUUUUCCCAAUAACAUUGAGAUGGUAUUUACUGUUUCCAGAAGUGCCACUGCAUUGAAGGUGCAAAAGUAUUAGUGAGUAAAACUGCUGCUGACACUUUAGAACAAAUCCAGCAAGUGGGGUAAAUCUGUUCCAGCAGCCAUUGUGCUCUUAACACAAUAUAUUUACAGUAAAAAAUAAAAUAAAAAUGCUAGUUUCACUAAGAAUGCCCUUGAUGUAGCACUAAAAACUACUAAUUUUAUUUGAUCUUAACCCUCACCGUGUCUUUUAGUGUUUUGAUGGUGAAACUGGAAGGAUGUGACAAGCACUUCGGCGACUGGUGCAUGAUGGUUGCCUGGCGGCCAUGUGAGGUGCACCCAACUAAUGGUUUAUUUUAUGGGAUCUGACUGACCCAGAGACAAACCGUAGCUAUUCAGGCUUAGGGAUUUGGCAGAUAUGUUCUCAAAAAUACGACCUUUUCACUUCAAGGAAAAAUACUUAGACCGAAAUUGUUUGCCAAUAAUGAAAGUCGAGCUUUCAAGUGAAAAUUAGAAUAACGGAAAACCUAUCUUUGCUGCCGUUAAGCUUUUAGGCUUUUGAAUCCUUAAAGAUUUUAAAUAUUGUGACAUUAGUGGUUAUACUAAUGAAUAAAAUUUGUUGUAUCAUGAACCCAGUGAACAAACAUUUUCUAAAUGACCAAUGCAUGUUACAAUCAGAACUUAAGUGGAAGCUACAAGCCUGUGUACAAUAAUGAGACACCAUGAGACAUAUGUUGAUAAAGCUUCAGAUUCGCCCCAUAUCACGUGUAGAGUUCUGGUGUCAUAUUACAGAAGAAUGUCCAAAAUUUUGUAAAAAGCCCACUGAAAUACUCUUUCCUUUUCCAACUGCAUAUCUGUAUGAGACUUGAUUUUCUGCCUACACUGCAACCAAAAUAACAUACUGAAACAGAUUGAAUGCACAAGCUGAUUUGAAAAUUCAGCUAUUUUCUAUUAAUUCAAAGAUAUUUUUAAACAUGUGAAACAAUUCCACUAUUCUCACCUUUUGGUUUUGGAAAAUUAGGCCUAUUUUUAAUAAAAAUGGAUUUAUUAUUUUAAAGUGAAUGUAUAUUUUAACAUUUCUUCCAUUAAAUUUAAAAUAACAUAAAUAUGAAGUGUUUUAAGUCAGUUAUUGCAGAUAUAACUGACAUAAACCACUUCCUUUGGGCCCUCAAUUGUUUUUAAGAGUGUGAAA